ensembl:snRNA U6 U6 spliceosomal RNA
GUGCUCACUUGGGCAGCGCAUAUAUUAAAAUUGGAAUGAUACAGAGAAGAUUAGCAUGGCCCCUGCACAAGGGUGACAUGCAAAUUCAUGAAGCAUUCCAUAUUUUU